GUUGAACGCUGGCGGCAGGCCUAACACAUGCAAGUCGAACGAGUGGCGGACGGGUGAGUAAUGUCUCGGAAACUGCCUGGUGGCGGGGGAUAACUACUGGAAACGGUGGCUAAUACCGCAUACCAUCGGAUGUGCCCAGAUGGGAUUAGCUUGUGGGUGGGGUAACGGCGCACCAAGGCGCCGAUCCCUAGCUGGUCUGAGAGGAUGACCAGCCACACUGGGACUGAGACACGGUCCAGACUCCCACGGGAGGCAGCAGUGGGGAAUAUUGGACAAUGGGCGAAAGCCUGAUGCAGCCAUGCCGCGUGUAUGAAGAAGGCCUUCGGGUUGUAAAGUACUUUCAGCGGGGAGGCGGUACCCGCAGAAGAAGCACCGGCUAACUCCGUGCCAGCAGCCGCGGUAAUAC
rnacentral:rRNA from 1 species